GCGUUUGUAGUCCAACGUUAGGAUAAUUACCUUCCAAGCAAUAGACCUUGGGUUCAACUUCCGGCAAACGCA
rfam:Ipomoea nil DNA, scaffold: scaffold2247, cultivar: Tokyo-kokei standard.